rnacentral:rRNA from 1 species
CAUCGCCUCCUGCCCACUCAGCAUAGGAGGUCCCGCCUGCCCUGUGACCAAAAGUUUAACGGCCGCGGUAUUUUAACCGUGCAAAGGUAGCGCAAUCAAUUGUCUUUUAAAUGAAGACCUGUAUGAAUGGCAUAACGAGGGUUUAACUGUCUCUUUUUUCAGGUCAAUGAAACUGAUCUGUCCGUGCAGAAGCGGACAUACUAACACAAGACGAGAAGACCCUAUGGAGCUUUAGACGCCCACCAACCACGAAAAGCAGCCUACCUAAACAGAUGCUCUAAACAACGCGGUCCUGGUACAAACGUCUUCGGUUGGGGCGACCGCGGAGGAGAACAAAGCCUCCGAGAGGAAUGGGAACAAACCCUAAAACCAAGAGCCACAGCUCUAAGUCACAAAAAAUUUGACCGACAAUGAUCCGGCUUACUGCCGAUCAACGGACCAAGUUACCCUAGGGAUAACAGCGCAAUCCCCUCCCAGAGUCCAUAUCGACGAGGGGGUUUACGACCUCGAUGUUGGAUCAGGACAUCCUAAUGGUGCAGCCGCUAUUAAGGGUUCGUUUGUUCAACGAUUAAAGUCCUACGUG